CAAGGAAUUUUCGGCAAUGGGGGAAACCCUGACCGAGCAACGCCGCGUGGGCGAAGAAGUCUUUCGGGAUGUAAAGCCCUUUUGUGUGAGAAGAAAGAAAGACGGUAUCACACGAAUAAGCAUCGGCUAACUACGUGCCAGCAGCCGCGGUAAUACGUAGGAUGCAAGCGUUGUCCGGAAUUAUUGGGCGUAAAGAGCGAGCAGGCGGUUACUCAAGUCAGAUGUAAAAUAUCCCGGCUUAACCGGGAGGGGCCAUUUGAAACUGGGUAACUAGAGUGAAGCAGAGGAUAGCGGAAUUCCCGGUGUAGUGGUGAAAUGCGUAGAUAUCGGGAGGAACACCAGUGGCGAAGGCGGCUAUCUGGGCUUUAACUGACGCUGAGGCGCGAAGGCUAGGGGAGCAAACAG
rnacentral:rRNA from 1 species